AGCUUUGCACAGGGGCAGUGUCAUAGUUGAUGAGGUUUAUCCGAGGCACCAUUUGAGAUUACUGUGAAUUGAAAACUUCCCCCAAUACUUCACUGUGACAAUUUGAAGUAUAGUAGGCAUUGGCAAUUUUUGACAGUCUCUAUGGAAA
rfam:Otolemur garnettii contig095077, whole genome shotgun sequence.